UGCUGAGAGACCUGUAAAGGAGCAAAGGAAGUGCCAGCCCUGAGUGCCGCCUGAACGCUGUGCUGAGGGAAUGAAAGCCUCACGAUUGGAGGAUUCUGUUGCUCUAAUACAGGAGGCAAGAUGCAUAGCCAGGAAAACCACUGCCAAUUUCUCGUCUACUCUGGACCCUCUGAAAGAAACUUCUGGACUGUCCAGCCAUUCCAAUUAGAUCCCAACUGGAUCCCAACUCUUGGAGUUCUUGACUCACCUUGCGGCCUUGGUCCAGCAGAGACUUGUAGCCGAUGCGCAAGUCUCGGGAAUACUUCAUGUAGAAGCAGUGGUACACACAUCUUCUUGGAGCUCUAGUGACUCACGUUGCACCUUGGAAUUGCAAAAG